GCCCUUCAUUCGGAUUUCAGGUUCCUCAAGCCUUUAGUGUUUCACCACCUUAGUUCACUCACUCACUCACUCACUCACGCGGCGCACUCGUUCAAAUCCCUUUCUAAUAAUCAAAGGAAAAAAAUAAAAAAAAUAUAGCUCUAGGAACUCUGCCCAGGAUUAUCUUGCCUGUAUAAGCUACCGUAUCAAUUCAUUUAUUAAAGAAACCCUAACUUUGAGUUCUGAUUUCUGGUUAGGGUUUCCAAUCCUCGUCGGCUUAGCGGUGUUCGUCUCAGAGCAUGCUACAUACCUCAUUUUCCUCUGCUGAAGCUGAUUCUUACUUAUUGAGAUCCCUGAAUUGGUGCACAGCCGGAGCUGACGACGUAGUUUUGGUUUGAUAUGGGUUUCGAUAUUGAGUGCAUAAUUGACAUUCAAAAGUAUCCUGGGGAGUACUUUUGUCCUGUUUGUCGUACACUUGUUUACCCAAAUGAAGCACUUCAGUCGCAGUGCACCCAUCUAUAUUGCAAGCCUUGUUUGGCGCAUGUUGCCAACAAUACCCGUGCCUGUCCCUAUGAUGGAUAUUUGGUUACGGAAUCAGAUUCUAAGCUACUCAUUGAAUCAGACAAAGCACUUGCUGAAAAUAUCGGCAAAGUAAAAGUACGCUGUCUGUAUCACAGAAGUGGAUGCACAUGGGAGGGUCCUCUGUCUGAGUGUACUCUGCAUUGUUCUGGCUGCAGCUUUGGGAGUUCCCCGGUCAUCUGCAACCGAUGUGGAGUUCAAAUUGUGCAUCGUCAAGUACAUGAUCAUGCCCAGAGUUGUCCUGGUGUGUAUCAAGUGCAACAGGCAGAUGCUGCUCAGGUUGUUGCCAGCUCGGGUUUGACUGCUGCCACUGGGGCUGCAAAUCAAAAUCAAGCUACCAGCCAGGCUGGAGCACCGACUUCUAAGGCCCAAAUCUCUCAUAUUGCUCCUCCACCUUUGGUUCCUGGACAGAACUCCAAUCAGCAGGCAAAUGCAAACUCUCAGGCUCCAGCUACUGUGCCAACUACAGAUCAAUGGUAUCAGCAACAAUAUCAGCAAUACUACCAGCAGUAUGCUGGUUAUGACCCCUAUCAGCAGGCUUAUACACAGUAUUAUCCGUACCAGCAGUUAGCUGUUCAACAGUAUCCCCCACAGGUACUUGGGCAGCAACCCCAGAUUCAGGUCUAUGCUCAGGCUGCUGCCCAGGUGCAGCCACCAUCCUCUUCCCAACCACAGGUUCAUCCUCAAACACAAUCUCAACCGCUGAAUCCUGGGCAACCUAUAGCUCAAGCACAACCUCCACCCCAACCCCAUCCUGUCCAAUCUCAAAUAAAGACUCAAGCACAGGUCCAACCGCAUGGGGCUACCUUAAUUCAUUCUCAACCUUUGGCCCCACAGGGUCAGAACCAGGUUCAAGCUAAUCCACAGCAGUUACCUCACCCUGCUGUGCAAUCUCAUGCUCAAAUUCCAGCACAGGCUAACUCUAUUCCUGGACUUCCAGCUCCUCAAACCCAGCAUUAUAACCAGCCCCAGGCCCAGCCCCAGCCCCAACCUCAUCCUGUGCAGCCUCAGCCACAACAUGUUCAGGCUCAAUAUCAGCAGCCACAUCUACCAAUGCACCAUCCACAGCCUUCUCUGGUUCAUCUCCAAUCUCAUAUGCUGACUCAGACCCAGCCGCAAGCUCAACCUCAACCUCAACCUCAAUCUCAACCACAUCCACAGCUCCAGCCCCAACCUCAACCACAAGUCCAGCCCCAACCACAGCUUCAACCACAUUUGCGGCCUUCACUUCCCAAUCAACCUACUGUUCCAAGUGCCCAGCCCCAGCCUUUGCCUUCCUCUGGGCAUGCUGUUUCUGGAUAUCAAUCCUAUUUGCAGCCUCAGCCCCCCCAGCAACAACCAAUUCCUGCUCAUCCUGCCAGUGUUUCUUUACCCUCUGGUCAAAUGCAAGGUCAGGUUUUUCCCCAACCACCAUUGAUGCGUCCUCCAUCACAGGUUCCAGUGCUUAAUCAGCAACAAGCUCAGUUUCAAUCUCAAGUUCAAGUUUCUAGCAUGACUACUACUCAGCAGCAGCAGUUCCAUCCUCAACCUCCACAGCUGAGCCACCCUAAUCAACAGCACCCUGUUAUUCACUCAAAUCAGCAUGGGUUGCCUCAGCAAUAUGCACAACAACAGCCUUUUUCUAACUCUGCUCAGGGUCAGUUGAGUCAUCACAAUCUUGUACAACAGCAGUCUCAGCUACACCCACAAGGCCCACCUCCUAUGAUGCAGCAAAGUUUUAAUGCCUAUCCCCAGUUGCAGCAAAAUGUUGCAAAUGCUUCUGUUGUACAAUCUCAGCAACCUCAUAACUAUGUCGGAAGACCUCUGAUGCCACAUCAAGGUGCACCAUCUCAGCCUCAGCCUUUUCAACAGUCUUCCAGUGGUUUUAUUUCUGGAGCUCAAAUCAGGCCUGGUCAAUUUGGCCCGUACCAACAAUCUCCAAAUCAGAAUUACGCAAAUAAGACCAAUAACCAGCUGCUGACAGCUUCUGAUCAGCAAAUUCUUCAGUCUGGGAUGACUUCCACAUCCGGAGUGCUGCUGAGGCAGGGUGACGGUGUUUCUGAUAAAACAAAUGUUGUGUUUGAAGCAGGGUUGCCUUCUCAGAAUGAUGCUGAGAAGGUUGCAAAUGCUUCUAGAGUUGAUUCUGUUGAAAUGAAGCCUCUGAAAUCUGAUGUAGGGAUAAGUUAUGAGCAAGAUGCAGCCAGAGAAAGCACUGAAAAUUCUAGAAAGAGUGAAUCUCUUGUCAGGGAUGCUGGCAGUGAAUUACAUGGAGGAAUAGAUGGUUCUGGUCAGCCUUUAACCAAGUUACCUUUGAAGGAAGAGCGUGUUGGGUACUCCUUAGAGCAUUCUUCUGAUGUAAAGUCAAAUGAAGUAGCAAAACAGCGAGAUACUAUUGGUGAUGUCCGGACUGAUGAUGUAGAACCUCACAAGGAUCAGAAGGCAAUAUUUGUAAAAGCUGGGGAUGAGAGCUUGCAGGCUAGUACUGGGCCUGUUAAUCAGCAAAAGUCUGCUGGACCUCCGAUAUUGCAAUCGGGACCUCCUGUUGGACCUCCAUCUCGUACACAACUUCCUGGAUAUCCAGCUAUGCCAGGGAGGCCUCAAGGAUCUGGACUUUUGCCUCAACCUAGGCAACCGUUGAACUCAAAUGAGCAAUUCCAGUCACCAUUGCUUAGACAACCUCAUGAUGUACUCCCUGGAGGGAUCCCUGCUUUAGGUUCUACAGCCACAUUUGGUUGGGCACCUGUUCCUUUUGGUCCUCCUCAGGGGCCUGCCUUGACUGCUUUACCUCCUGGUUCAGCUGAUCCUCGAGGUGGGAUAAUGGGAAGAGCCCCUCAGCAUGGUCCAGCAGAAACUGAAAUGUUACCGAAGCAGAGGCAGAGCCACUUUGAUGGAGAACACACAAAGAUACCUGGAUCUUUUGAGAGAGGUCCUCUAGGGCAUCCUUCUGGAGUUGAACCAAAUGCUUUGCGGAUGAAUGGAAAGCUGGGGCUUGAAAAAUCUUCACUUGGGUCACAGGAUGACAGGUUCAAGGCUUUGCCUGGGGAGCAUUUGAACCCUUUUACAAGGGAACCUACUUGGCCUCGGGAUCUAGGAUCAAGGCCUCUUGACAGGGGACCUCAUGGGUUGAACUAUGAUGCUCGGCCAACAUUGGAUUCUGCCGGAGGUGGGCCUGCGUCUAGAAUGCUGCCUCCAUUUCAUCCUUCUGGUGGUCCUGGAAUGGCUAGGCAUGAUGUGGAACAUUUGGUUCCGAGAAGUCCUGAUAGGGAAUACCUCGGCAUGAAAGCACACUCACAUGGUGAAGGAUCCAGACGGAAUCUGCCUUUAGAUCCUCAAGGUAAUCCAAUUCUUGAAACCAGAUUUCUCCCUCUGCCAGGCUAUCAGCAAAGAGGUGACCAUGAAGGCCCAGAGGCUUUGAGAUAUGGUGAGCAUAGGGUUCCCGGUCCUCAAGAUCAUAUCAGGAGAACUGAUCUGUUUGGUCAAGAUAUCCCACCUAGCCAUUUCCGGAGGGGUGAGCUUUUGGGUCCUGGGAAUUCAACAAGUAAUUUUGGUCCCUUUCCUGGUCACACUCAGAUGGGAGAGAUUUCUGGGCCCACAAAUCUCCCGCAUAACUUCCAGUAUGGUGAACCAUUUGCAGGAGAUAAACCAGGUGGUCAACAACUUGGUGAGCCUGGUUCUAGGGGCAGUUUUUCACUCCAGGGAUUUCCAAGUGAUGGGCCUUAUGCUGGCGACAUGAGUACCUUUGAUAACUCAAGAAAGAGGAAAAAUAUGAGCAUGGGAUGGUGUCGCAUAUGCAAAGUGGAUUGUGAAACUGUGGAAGGCUUAGACAGGCAUUCACAAUCAAGAGAGCACCAGAAGAUGUCUCUCGACAUGGUUAUGAGCAUCAAGCUGCAGAAUAAGAAGAAAUUUAAGGCUUCAAAUGAUCGUGCUGGACGUGAAUUGGGAAACAAGAAAAGAAACUUUGGUCAAGAGGGUCGUGGCAAGAAGCCUUGAAACCCAGCCUCCCAUUGGUAUGUGGGAUGUGGGAGUCUUGAGUUGUAGCUUUCUUGAACGAAAUUAGUGUGUAGCAAUCUAGAUCUUUUCAAUACAACAUAUCUUUUUUGGGAGAAGAAGAAGAGAAAAAAAGGAUGACAGUUCUGCAGAAUGGUUUACGGGCCUUUUUUCUGAUGUUGGGGCUUAAAGUGAAGCUACGGGAUGAGCUUUCUUUAAUGGAUCUUGGGCAUCGAUUACUGCUUCUCCAUUGGGGUUUCCAGGUUUGAGGUAUUUCUCAUGUUGUGGAGUUUUGUUACAUUGCUUGGUGCCUCCAAAAUUUUUCCCUAAAAGCUUAAUUGUGGCUUGGAUCUCCAAUUGUUUUGUCUGGCGACACACACUGUGAUUCCAUUAGCUUGUUUUUGACGGUAUUCUGCAACAAAAUUUGAAAGUAGAUUUUGUUUAAUAAAAUGUUUCAAACUUCCAUGGAUCUUCUUUGUAUGUUCUUGCAGCUGGGAAUAGGCAAUUCUUGAAAAUGUGGGUGAGCAGAUUUAGCAGAAUGUCUUUUUGCAAUUUUCAGAAAAUUUUGGGUCGCCUUUGGUAAUCAGUAAUUGUUCUUAGUGAAAUAAGCUGGUCCAAUAUGAGUUUCUUUUUGUAUAGAGGGUUUGGUUCUGAGGAUUGAAGUCUUUUUGCUACUUUUUGUUGACUAUUCAAGGAUGGACUUCACUUCAAGUGGGGAAAUGCUGUAAUAAAAUCAAGUAAGGCAAUCUUCUAUAGCUAGACAUUCUGUGGCUAAUUAACUUUGGAUAGUUUGCAUAAUUGAACAACUUGAAUUAGUGAGUUCACUAUUUUGCUGUGUCUACCCAGUUUUAUAGACUGCGCCUGAUUCUCUAAAAGGAAACAGUAAAACAAUCUUUGGGUAUAGUGUGUGUAAUUAAUUGGUUAGCUUAAAUUUGGCAGUGCUAUCAGCUUUUUGACAUUUUAGAUGCUGAAAUUGUAUUGGUGGAAGAUUUAAAUGAUUACCACUUUUUGGAAAUUACUACUACAUGUUACUUAUUGACCUUAGAAAUCCUCUAAAAAUCAAAAUGGGAUAUGCUUCCCUGACUUCAUUAAUUAUUAGGAAAGUUGUAACCUGCUGAAGAUUUUAUGAUCUUCUUUGAUUCUAGGGAGACUUAAGCUUUGCUUUCUUACGUGAAAAAGGAAGAACUAUCUGAGGUUUUUUUUUCCCCCAAUUUCACGUCUUUUAUUGUUUUGCUUCUACUAUUCAAAUAUUUAGAAAAGAGGGUCUCUGUCCUCCAAAAGUAUGCUUGUCUCUUUUCUCCAUACCAUUUAAACUGAAACAAAAUCACUCGGCAUCCUAUCCUUGGUAAUAUAAAAUAAUAUAUUAUAGAAGCUCUUCAUCUAGUUUAAUGCUAUUAUGACUUUUGCAACUGUGCUGAUGAGUGAAUCGUCCAAAGGAACUUACAGGACUGUUUUGAUAAUGAAUGUAUGAGAUGAACAUACAAUUCGAAUUUUUGUUUUAGCAUAUAUCAAACAGUGACAAAUUAGGUUGAGUUGAGUUGUGGUAUUGAAGGGUAUGGAAGUUUCACGUUUAGGUUGGUGCUGUCUUAAGUUUUUUCUAACUAGGAUCUUUUGGAACUUUUACAUAUUAAAGAUUUUUUAUGGUUGUGGAUGCUUGUACUGCUUGUAGCUAUUUUCAAAUCUGAUGCUAUAGUAGGAAAAAAAAGAAACACGAAAAACUGAUCAGUUCCUGGCUAUCAGUCAUAGCCACGGAAUACUGAAAGGUAAAAUUUAAAGAUUUAAGAAAGAAUAAUUGAUGCAGCUCGUAUUUUUGUUUGCUAGCUGUUUCAGUUACUGUCGGUAUUGAGACAUUCCUACAUUAAAAGUGAACGUGAUCUUGUGAAGUGGACCAAAUGGAAAGGUAAGAAUAUCUGCUAUAAGGAGCAUAACUAUUGGAAAUGGCCUUGUUAGAAAUGAGAGAUAUAGGUUAUGCUUUUGCCACGUAUUCAAAACUCAUACUUCAUUAGCUCGACUCUGCCAGUGGCUACUUGAAGUUUAAUGCUGCCUGUGAUCUGGUGAUACUUUGACCUUGUACCUGUUUUUGGUUUAGAGUUGUAUAGAUGGAUUUCGAGCCACAAAGAAUAUUUAAUAGAAUGGUCAAAAGAUUUGUUGUAAUCUUUAUUGAAAAUUUGCGGAAAGGCAGGUUUGCCUUUCCCAGUUUGUUUUUUCCUUCUCUACACUGUUGCAAGUGAACUCAGCUUCUCUCCUAUAGCUACUUGUAUGGCACAAUGAAGUGGAAUGACCUAGUAGAUUGUUAAUAA